GGAGAGGGCCUAACUAACCUAAAGGCACUGGAUCACAUCUGAUCUUGGAUGCUCAGCAGAGCUGGCCCUGAUUAAUUCUUGGAUGGGAUGCCAUGCUCAAAUGUCAGGUGCUGUAUUCC
rnacentral:rRNA from 1 species